GUUUAGAACGUCGUGAGACAGUUCGGUCCCUAUCUGCCGUGGGCGCUGGAGAAUUGAGGGGGGUUGCUCCUAGUACGAGAGGACCGGAGUGAACGCACCACUGGUGUUCGGGUUGUCAUGCCAAUGGCAUUGCCCGGUAGCUAAGUGCGGAAAAGAUAAGUGCUGAAAGCAUCUAAGCACGAAACUUGCCCCGAGAUGAGUUCUCCCUGACUCCUUUGAGAGUCCUGAAGGGACGUUGAAGACUACGACGUUGAUAGGCCGGGUGUGUAAGCGCAGCGAUGCGUUGAGCUAACCGGUACUAAUG
rnacentral:rRNA from 1 species